rnacentral:tRNA from 1 species
GAAGGUAUAGCUCAGUGGCAGAGUGCAUGCCUAGCAUGCAUCGGGUCCUGGGUUUAAUUCCUAGUAUCUCCA